ACAGGGAUUGCCCUAGUAACGGCGAGUGAACAGGCAAGAGCUCAGAUUUGAAAGGCACUUUUGUGCCGUUGUAUUCUGAAGUUAGGGUCCUGAGAAACGAUGCUUAAGUCUUCUGGAAAGGAGCGCCAUGGAGGGUGAUAGCCCCGUCUAGCAUUGACCUCAUAUAGGAUCUUAACAUGGAGUCGAGUUGUUUGGGAAUGCAGCUCAAAUGGGUGGUAUGCUCCAUCUAAAGCUAAAUAUCUGCGAGAGACCGAUAGUAAACAAGUACUGUGAGGGAAAGAUGAAAAGAACUUUGAAAAGAGAGUGAAAAAGUACGUGAAAUUGUUGAAAUGGAAGGGUAGGCCGCUAACCAUGUAGAGCCGUGUUUGGGGGGAAGAUAAAUGCUGUAGAAUGUAGCUCCUCGGAGUAUUAUAGAUGCAGUUCAUAUUCCCACCCGAGCGCGAGGAUCUCAGGUUCUACUAAAUGGUGGUCUACCACCCGUCUUGAACC
rnacentral:rRNA from 1 species